rnacentral:rRNA from 1 species
CUCAGCAUGAGCCUCAAAAUGGUGAAGCCGCGAAUGGCUCAUUACAACAGCCGUUGUUUCUUGGAUCUUACUUUUACUUGGAUAACUGUGGUAAUUCUAGAGCUAAUACAUGCACUCAAUCCCCGACCUUGCGGAAGGGGAGCAUUUGUUAGACCAAAAUCUCCCAGCUUCGGCUGAGUUUUGGUGACUCUGAAUAACUUUGCAGAUCGCACGGUCCUCGCACCGGCGACUCGUCUUUCAAGUGUCUGCCCUAUCAACUUUCGAUGGUAGUUUAUGCGCCUACCAUGGUUUUAACGGGUAACGGAGAAUGAGGGUUCGACUCCGGAGAGGGAGCCUGAGAAACGGCUACCACAUCCAAGGAAGGCAGCAGGCGCGCAAAUUACCCACUCUCAGCACGAGGAGGUAGUGACAAAAAAUAACAAGGGCGCUCGCUUUGCGGUCGCCCAUUGGAAUGGGUACAAUUUAAACCCUUUAACGAGGAUCUAUUGGAGGGCAAGUCUGGUGCCAGCAGCCGCGGUAAUUCCAGCUCCAAUAGCAUAUACCAAUGCUGUUGCUGUUAAAACGCUCGUAGUUGGAUCUAUCCAGAGUGCAUGGUCGGCCUCAAUGGUCUGUACUGUGUCACGAUGGAACGUUUGCUGGUCUUCUCCAGUUGCUCUUCACUGAGUGGCUGGAGUGGCUAGCGCCUUUACUUUGAAAAAAUUAGAGUGCUCAAAACAAGCGUUACGGCUCGAAUAGUGGUGCAUGGAAUAAUGGAAUAGGAUCUCGGUUCUAUUUUGUUGGUUUUAGGAGCAGAGAUAAUGAUAAAAAGGAACGGUCCCGGGGACAUUUGUAUUUCGGCGCUAGAGGUGAAAUUCUUGGAUCGCUGAACGACAAACAACUGCGAAAGCAUUUGUCAAGGAUGUUUUCAUUAAUCAAGAACGAAAGUUAGAGGUUCGAAGGCGAUCAGAUACCGCCCUAGUUCUAACCGUAAACGAUGCCAAUUAGCGAUUGGUCGGCGUUGUUUUUGACCCGAUCAGCAGCUUUCCGGAAACGAAAAUCUUUCGGUUCAGGGGGAAGUAUGGUUGCAAAGCUGAAACUUAAAGGAAUUGACGGAAGGGCACCACCAGGAGUGGAGCCUGCGGCUUAAUUUGACUCAACACGGGGAAACUCACCCGGCCCGGACACUGUAAGGAUUGACAGAUUGAUAGCUCUUUCUUGAUUCAGUGGUUGGUGGUGCAUGGCCGUUCUUAGUUGGUGGAGCGAUUUGUCUGGUUAAUUCCGAUAACGAACGAGACUCUAGCCUGCUAAAUAGUCUGCCGAUCAUUUGUCAGCAGUACUUCUUAGAGGGACAAGCAGCGUUUAGCUGCAGGAAGUUGAGCAAUAACAGGUCUGUGAUGCCCUUAGAUGUCCGGGGCUGCACGCGCGCUACACUGCAGAUAUCAACUAGUGAGUCCUCCUUGUCCGAAAGGACUGGGUAACCUGGUGAAACAUCUGCGUGAUUGGGAUAGUGAUUUGCAAUUAUCUCACUUGAACGAGGAAUUCCUAGUAAGUGUGGGUCAUCAGCUCAUGCUGACUGCGUCCCUGCCCUUUGUACACACCGCCCGUCGCUAUGAGGGAUUGACUGGCUUGUCGAAGUGUUGUGAUCACGGCUUGGGUGGGGCAACUCGCCUGAAAUGGGAAAACCUAAUUAAAAUGAGUCAGUUAAACCACA